CAAUAUGCAGAUGACCU
rnacentral:piRNA from 1 species